rnacentral:rRNA from 1 species
ACCUGCCCAGAAGCGGGGGACAACAUUUGGAAACAGAUGCUAAUACCGCAUAACAACGUUGUUCGCAUGAACAACGCUUAAAAGAUGGCUUCUCGCUAUCACUUCUGGAUGGACCUGCGGUGCAUUAGCUUGUUGGUGGGGUAAUGGCCUACCAAGGCGAUGAUGCAUAGCCGAGUUGAGAGACUGAUCGGCCACAAUGGGACUGAGACACGGCCCAUACUCCUACGGGAGGCAGCAGUAGGGAAUCUUCCACAAUGGGCGCAAGCCUGAUGGAGCAACACCGCGUGAGUGAAGAAGGGUUUCGGCUCGUAAAGCUCUGUUGUUAAAGAAGAACACGUAUGAGAGUAACUGUUCAUACGUUGACGGUAUUUAACCAGAAAGUCACGGCUAACUACGUGCCAGCAGCCGCGGUAAUACGUAGGUGGCAAGCGUUAUCCGGAUUUAUUGGGCGUAAAGAGAGUGCAGGCGGUUUUCUAAGUCUGAUGUGAAAGCCUUCGGCUUAACCGGAGAAGUGCAUCGGAAACUGGAUAACUUGAGUGCAGAAGAGGGUAGUGGAACUCCAUGUGUAGCGGUGGAAUGCGUAGAUAUAUGGAAGAACACCAGUGGCGAAGGCGGCUACCUGGUCUGCAACUGACGCUGAGACUCGAAAGCAUGGGUAGCGAACAGGAUUAGAUACCCUGGUAGUCCAUGCCGUAAACGAUGAGUGCUAGGUGUUGGAGGGUUUCCGCCCUUCAGUGCCGGAGCUAACGCAUUAAGCACUCCGCCUGGGGAGUACGACCGCAAGGUUGAAACUCAAAGGAAUUGACGGGGGCCCGCACAAGCGGUGGAGCAUGUGGUUUAAUUCGAAGCUACGCGAAGAACCUUACCAGGUCUUGACAUCUUGCGCCAACCCUAGAGAUAGGGCGUUUCCUUCGGGAACGCAAUGACAGGUGGUGCAUGGUCGUCGUCAGCUCGUGUCGUGAGAUGUUGGGUUAAGUCCCGCAACGAGCGCAACCCUUGUUACUAGUUGCCAGCAUUAAGUUGGGCACUCUAGUGAGACUGCCGGUGACAAACCGGAGGAAGGUGGGGACGACGUCAGAUCAUCAUGCCCCUUAUGACCUGGGCUACACACGUGCUACAAUGGACGGUACAACGAGUCGCGAACUCGCGAGGGCAAGCAAAUCUCUUAAAACCGUUCUCAGUUCGGACUGCAGGCUGCAACUCGCCUGCACGAAGUCGGAAUCGCUAG